rnacentral:lncRNA from 1 species
CUGAACUACAAUUUUGGCUUCAGCUCUGCUUGGCCCCUUCUCUACCCGGCAGCUCUCAUUGGACUCAGGAACGUAGAGUCCUCCAGACUCUACGUACAUGUAGCUGAUGUAAAUUCACCUGAGGAGUUCCUGGGGGAGACUGCAAGGAGAUGUCAGAGGGACCCAGGUACCUAGGCCUUUGUGCUGUGAAUCAGCGGACGCGCAAGUGGCAGUGCCUGUUAGAAGCAACGCAACCUCGUGGCUCCUGCAAGUGUGGAGACACCUCCCACACAAGGCGGGGCAAGCAGGACAAGCGCAGUUUGCUGUGGUCUUGUGACAGAGAGCACAAAAGGGAUCAUGUAACGGGAUACAAGGCUGGGAAAGUGCAUUGGAGAAAAGGAAGUGAUAAAGCACCGUGAGCACAAGGAAGAAGGAAUGGUUAAUUUUGACUGUGGAUGAAGAGAGAGGCUUCACGGGAGAGGCAGCAUUUAGGUGAGUCUUGAAGAAUGAUAAGAUUUUGAUGGCGUGAAAGAGAGAACAGG